UAGUGUAGCCCUGCUGCAUUAACCCAUACCUUUGGCAGGGCAGCUGCACAAAACCUCACACAUUUUGGUAUGUAACAACCUGGCAGGAAAACCCACUGGUAGAUAUACUUACAAACACAGACAAAUAUGGUUACAGUAGAUAAACUGGAAUGAAGAUGUUGACUUUUUGUGUGAACUUUGAUCACUUUAUAACUCUAUUCAUCAUCACCUUUCCUGCUCUCCUCUGCAGAAUGGCGCCAUGACUCUCUUAAAGGCAGCCAACACAUGCAGAAGAGAUCUGAGAAGGCCAGGGCCUGGGACAGAGUGAUGUAUUGCUGAAAUUGGAUACAAGAAGCACAGAAUUUAUGGACUACAAGGUCAUUUUGCAGAAACCAGAAGACAGAGAAGAAACCAACAAAGACUCAGUAUAUGUGUGUUUUCAACACAGUCCCUACCUGGAAAAAAAAUGCUAAAAAGACUGAAAAUAUAAACUAAUUAUCAUGAGAAGUGAGAAAUCACUAACCAAUAGCAAACAGAAUACUGAUUAAUGAAAGACAAUUAUGUAAUUUAGAACCAAUGAACAUAAAUUUCUUUGAUUGCUAAAAAUGUACAAAUAAGUGAAUGAAUUUUGGAUCUGUAUUUGUGUAGAGGUCAGAAUUUUGCUGGCCACACACACACCUCCAGGCUAAGAAUAAAGUAAUGCCUUCCUCACUAGCUCUAAAAAGACAGUGUUAGAGCAUCUUAUUGAUCCUGACAGUUUUGGAGGAUUCAGUACUCAGGGCUCUGCCUCUACUGUGACCUGCUGUAGCUUCUCAACAUUCCCUGUGUCUUCUGAAAACACUGCUGAAGGUUCCUUGUAAGCUGAGACUAAUAGAGCAGUGGCAAAGAAAGAUCUGCAACUAGCAGUUACCAAAUAACCCUCUGCCACAGCAGAUGUCUCCAUUCACUAUUCAGUAAUAAAAGGCAUUUAAUUAGUUAAGUGUGAGUCUAUAUCCCUAGUCAACCUUUAAUUUCAUUGCUUUAGCAAAAUUAGCUGGUUAAAACUGGGCACCUUUAUCUUUGAUAUGGCAGCAAAUUCUUCAGGCUGUCACCUUCUACCCAAAGUUUACUGGGCGAAAAAGAAGCUAAAAUCCAUUCUCACAAAGGCAUAAAAUUUUACUCAAAAUGCAACAAGGAGUGACUGAGUUGGUUUUUAUGUUAAAUGUGAAAUACAGCUUGUCAUGUGACAGGUUUGAAUGUAGAAGUGGGUUAUCUGCCUUGCUUCCUGUUAAGUGUUCCCUUGUUCAGAAAUUGUAAACAAACUCUUUAUUGCAUUAUUGCCUCCAAUAUUGCUCAAACUAUUGAAGAAGUGCAUAUAUGUGGAUCAAGGUUAAUAUUUACCUACUGAAUUCGUGUGAUAGAAUUGUGACCAGAUCUACAAAGCACAGCCCAGCUAUGUGCUCUGUGUGCCAGUUCCUUGGGUGGUGCUUGGACUAUUGCGACAUUGCAGAGCUAAUGUUCCCCAAAGCUCUUGCUGGCAGUUAUAAGGCAUGAUGUAACAAUCUUCUGCAGGUGGAAUGCUGCCCAGCUCUGAGGUAGUUUGCUUGGUUUGGUUUUGACUUCUGCAUAAACAAUUUUCAUGUUGAUUUUUAACAGGUAAUUAAAAAGGCAGACUGUGCCUACACCUUUUCCUGUUUCUUCCACAGACUCCUUGAAUAAAGCAUUUAGUCAGCUUCA